rnacentral:rRNA from 1 species
ACAUGCAAGUCGAGCGGACAGAUGGGAGCUUGCUCCCUGAUGUUAGCGGCGGACGGGUGAGUAACACGUGGGUAACCUGCCUGUAAGACUGGGAUAACUCCGGGAAACCGGGGCUAAUACCGGAUGGUUGUUUGAACYGCAUGGUUCAGACAUAAAAGGUGGCUUCGGCUACCACUUACAGAUGGACCCGCGGCGCAUUAGCUAGUUGGUGAGGUAACGGCUCACCAAGGCGACGAUGCGUAGCCGACCUGAGAGGGUGAUCGGCCACACUGGGACUGAGACACGGCCCAGACUCCUACGGGAGGCAGCAGUAGGGAAUCUUCCGCAAUGGACGAAAGUCUGACGGAGCAACGCCGCGUGAGUGAUGAAGGUUUUCGGAUCGUAAAGCUCUGUUGUUAGGGAAGAACAAGUGCCGUUCAAAUAGGGCGGCACCUUGACGGUACCUAACCAGAAAGCCACGGCUAACUACGUGCCAGCAGCCGCGGUAAUACGUAGGUGGCAAGCGUUGUCCGGAAUUAUUGGGCGUAAAGGGCUCGCAGGCGGUUUCUUAAGUCUGAUGUGAAAGCCCCCGGCUCAACCGGGGAGGGUCAUUGGAAACUGGGGAACUUGAGUGCAGAAGAGGAGAGUGGAAUUCCACGUGUAGCGGUGAAAUGCGUAGAGAUGUGGAGGAACACCAGUGGCGAAGGCGACUCUCUGGUCUGUAACUGACGCUGAGGAGCGAAAGCGUGGGGAGCGAACAGGAUUAGAUACCCUGGUAGUCCACGCCGUAAACGAUGAGUGUGUUAGGGGGUUUCCGCCCCUUAGUGCUGCAGCUAACGCAUUAAGCACU